rnacentral:rRNA from 1 species
UACGUAGGUGUCGAGCGUUGUCCGGAUUUAUUGGGCGUAAAGAGCGUGUAGGCGGCCGUACAGGUCAGCUGUGAAAACUCGAGGCUCAACCUCGAGACGUCGGUUGAAACCGUACGGCUAGAGUCCGGAAGAGGAGAGUGGAAUUCCCGGUGUAGCGGUGAAGUGCGCAGAUAUCGGGAAGAACACCCGUGGCGAAGGCGGCUCUCUGGGACGGUACUGACGCUGAGACGCGAAAGCGUGGGGAGCGAACAGG